rnacentral:rRNA from 1 species
AAUUGAGCCAGUCAGCGAAUGAUUUAAAGCAUAGCGCUUUAUAUCGGCUGUCGUUCUUUAACAAUCAGGAAGAAGUAGUAAAGAGAUUUAUCUGAAAGCACUUAGAGAUGGGUGUGAGUAGGUGAAUCAGGGUUGUGAUUGUAUCGAAUGUAUUUUUGAGUUCAUCGAAAGACGAACCUGGAAUACGGCACAACGCGAAAACUCAGCCUGUAGCGGAUGUUAUCNNNNNNNNNNNNNNNNNNNNNNNNNNNNNNNNNNNNNNNNNNNNNNNNNNNNNNNNNNNNNNNNNNNNNNNNNNNNNNNNNNNNNNNNNNNNNNNNNNNNGGGGUGACGGCGUACCUUUUGUAUAAUGGGUCAGCGACUUACAUUCAGUGGCGAGCUUAACCGAUUAGGGCAGGCGUAGCGAAAGCGAGUCCGAACAGGGCGAUUCAGUCGCUGGGUGUAGACCCGAAACCAGGUGAUCUAUCCAUGGCCAGGUUGAAGGCACGGUAACACGUGCUGGAGGACCGAACCCACUGACGUUGAAAAGUCAGGGGAUGAGCUGUGGAUAGGGGUGAAAGGCUAAACAAACCUGGAAAUAGCUGGUUCUCUCCGAAAACUAUUUAGGUAGUGCCUCGUGUAUCACCUUCGGGGGUAGAGCACUGUCAUGGUUGAGGGGUCCAUUGCGGAUUACCUCGCCAUAGCAAACUCCGAAUACCGAAGAGUGCAAUCACGGGAGACAGACAUCGGGUGCUAACGUCCGGUGUCAAGAGGGAAACAACCCAGACCGCCAGCUAAGGUCCCCAAAUAUGGCUAAGUGGGAAACGAAGUGGGAAGGCUAAAACAGUCAGGAGGUUGGCUUAGAAGCAGCCACCCUUUAAAGAAAGCGUAAUAGCUCACUGAUCGAGUCGUCCUGCGCGGAAGAUGUAACGGGGCUAAGCCAUAUACCGAAGCUGCGGAUGCAUAUUUAUAUGCAUGGUAGGAGAGCGUUCCGUAAGCCUGCGAAGGUGCACUGGAAAGUGUGCUGGAGGUAUCGGAAGUGCGAAUGCUGACAUGAGUAGCGAUAAAGGGGGUGAAAGGCCCCCUCGCCGUAAGCCCAAGGUUUCCUACGCAACGUUCAUCGGCGUAGGGUGAGUCGGCCCCUAAGGCGAGGCAGAAAUGCGUAGCUGAUGGGAAACAGGUCAAUAUUCCUGUACCAGUGUGAAAUGCGAUGGGGGGACGGAUCGCGGAAGGUUGUCCGGGUGUUGGAAGUCCCGGUCGCUGCGUUGGAGAAGGUGCUCUGGCAAAUCCGGGCACGGGAUUCAAGGGCGUGGCGCGAGCUCCUCAGGGAGCGAAGCAAUCGGAAGGGGUUCCAGGAAAAGCCUCUAAGCUUCAGUUUCACAUUGACCGUACCGCAAACCGACACAGGUGGGCGAGAUGAGUAUUCUAAGGCGCUUGAGAGAACUCGGGAGAAGGAACUCGGCAAAUUGGUACCGUAACUUCGGGAUAAGGUACGCCCCUGUAGCUUGACUGGCCUGCGCCAGGAGGGUGAAGGGGUUGCAAUAAACUGGUGGCUGCGACUGUUUAAUAAAAACACAGCACUCUGCAAACACGAAAGUGGACGUAUAGGGUGUGACGCCUGCCCGGUGCCGGAAGAUUAAAUGAUGGGGUGCAAGCUCUUGAUUGAAGUCCCGGUAAACGGCGGCCGUAACUAUAACGGUCCUAAGGUAGCGAAAUUCCUUGUCGGGUAAGUUCCGACCUGCACGAAUGGCGUAACGAUGGCCACACUGUCUCCUCCCGAGACUCAGCGAAGUUGAAGUGUUUGUGAUGAUGCAAUCUCCCCGCGGCUAGACGGAAAGACCCCAUGAACCUUUACUGUAGCUUUGCAUUGGACUUUGAACCGGUCUGUGUAGGAUAGGUGGGAGGCUGUGAAGCGUGGACGCCAGUCUGCGUGGAGCCGUCCUUGAAAUACCACCCUGGUUUGUUUGAGGUUCUAACCUUGGCCCGUGAUCCGGGUCGGGGACAGUGCAUGGUGGGCAGUUUGACUGGGGCGGUCUCCUCCCAAAGUGUAACGGAGGAGUACGAAGGUACGCUAGGUACGGUCGGAAAUCGUGCUGAUAGUGCAAUGGCAUAAGCGUGCUUAACUGCGAGACCGACAAGUCGAGCAGGUGCGAAAGCAGGUCAUAGUGAUCCGGUGGUUCUGUAUGGAAGGGCCAUCGCUCAACGGAUAAAAGGUACUCUGGGGAUAACAGGCUGAUACCGCCCAAGAGUUCAUAUCGACGGCGGUGUUUGGCACCUCGAUGUCGGCUCAUCUCAUCCUGGGGCUGUAGCCGGUCCCAAGGGUAUGGCUGUUCGCCAUUUAAAGAGGUACGUGAGCUGGGUUUAAAACGUCGUGAGACAGUUUGGUCCCUAUCUGCCGUGGGCGCUGGAUAUUUGAAGGGGGCUGCUCCUAGUACGAGAGGACCGGAGUGGACGAACCUCUGGUGUACCGGUUGUCACGCCAGUGGCAUCGCCGGGUAGCUAUGUUCGGAAGAGAUAACCGCUGAAAGCAUCUAAGCGGGAAACUCGCCUUGAGAUGAGAUAUCCCCGGGGCUUCGAGCCCCUUGAAGGGUCGUUCAAGACCAGGACGUUGAUAGGUCAGGUGUGCACGCGCAGUAAUGCGCUCAGCUAACUGAUACUAAUUGCCCGUAAGGCUUGAUCCU